UACGAAGGGGGCUAGCGUUGUUCGGAAUUACUGGGCGUAAAGGGCGCGUAGGCGGCCAAGUAAGUCAGAUGUGAAAGCCCCGGGCUUAACCUGGGAACUGCAUUUGAUACUGCUCGGCUGGAGGAUGAGAGAGGAAAGUGGAAUUGCGAGUGUAGAGGUGAAAUUCGUAGAUAUUCGCAAGAACACCAGUGGCGAAGGCGACUUUCUGGCUCAUUUCUGACGCUAAAGCGCGAAAGCGUGGGGAGCAAACAGG
rnacentral:rRNA from 1 species